UACUUUCAGAACAUGUUUCAAGGAAGACGUGGCUGAAGAGUGGAUAUUCAGUGGAAAUAAGAGUGAUCAGUAUACUGCCUGCAAUUGCACACUCAGUGGAGAGACUUGUCCAAAGCUGAACUUUUCACCACCUCACAAGAGAACAUUCUCUUCCCGAACAAUAUAUAACCUUACUGGACAUGAUGUAGAAACUUACCUUCUAGUUACUGCCAGAGAUUUUGUUCAAAAGAGAUAUGGUGGAUGGAGUUUUGGGCUGCCCUUGCCUAGUAAUCUCCGAUUUGAUAUAAGCCCUGUACCUGCUAACAGAACAGUAACUAAGGU